rnacentral:tRNA from 1 species
UCCGGCGUAGCUCAAUGGUGGAGCAUCCCGCUGUUAACGGGAGGGUUACUGGUUCGAGUCCAGUCGCCGGAG